UACAGAGGGUGCGAGCGUUAAUCGGAAUGACUGGGCGUAAAGGGUGCGUAGGCGGCUAGGUAAGUCGGAUGUGAAAGCCCCGGGCUCAACUCGGGAAGUGCACUCGAUACUGCUUAGCUCGAGUACCGGAGAGGUUGGUGGAAUUCUCGGUGUAGAGGUGAAAUUCGUAGAUAUCGAGAGGAACACCGGUGGCGAAGGCGGCCAACUGGACGAGUACUGACGCUGAGACACGAAAGCGUGGGGAGCAAACAGG
rnacentral:rRNA from 1 species